UAGGGAAUCUUCGGCAAUGGGGGCAACCCUGACCGAGCAACGCCGCGUGAGUGAAGAAGGUUUUCGGAUCGUAAAGCUCUGUUGUAAGAGAAGAACGUGUGUUAGAGUGGAAAGUUCACACAGUGACGGUAACUUACCAGAAAGGGACGGCUAACUACGUGCCAGCAGCCGCGGUAAUACGUAGGUCCCGAGCGUUGUCCGGAUUUAUUGGGCGUAAAGCGAGCGCAGGCGGUUUAAUAAGUCUGAAGUUAAAGGCAGUGGCUUAACCAUUGUUCGCUUUGGAAACUGUUAAACUUGAGUGCAGAAGGGGAGAGUGGAAUUCCAUGUGUAGCGGUGAAAUGCGUAGAUAUAUGGAGGAACACCGGUGGCGAAAGCGGCUCUCUGGUCUGUAACUGACGCUGAGGCUCGAAAGCGUGGGGAGCAAACAGG
rnacentral:rRNA from 1 species